CAGGAACUGCAAAUAGAUUAAUAAAAAAAAUUAAUAAUCGAUAAUUAAUUGUUAGAAUAUGAUUGUUUAUGCUGACGAAAUGAAAAGAUAUGCAAUUAGAAGAAAUUUGAUAUUUUUUAUUUACAUAUCUGAAUAUUUAUUAAUUAUAUAUUUGCAGAAAUGAUAAAGAUAAUAGAAAACACUCUCAUCUGUACCAUUUUAUUAUCAGAUCCUUUUGGAACAAUAUCACUGUUUUUUAAAACUCUUGCUCAUUCCUAUCGCUACAGAGAUCGGUUACUAUCCGAAAUACACUAGGAUAUAUCUGAAUAUGGAGAACGAAACCACUUCCGGUUGACUAUCGUUUACGGACUCGCCUCGCUGAAUUUCUUCACAUUCGAGGGAUAACUGCCCUCGAUAACAGUUAGACCAAACAUGAUUAUACGCGAAACUUUCUGCAUACGUUACAAGAUCAUUAUUGAGAAUCCUCAAAUUUAACGUGUCCAUCGAUCGAGAAACAAAAUAAUAUUCGACACUUUUACGGAUGAGUUUCGUUCCCUCAUGAUUCAAUAAAAUCAUUUUUAGAUAAAUAAAUAAAUACAAGUGUAUUUUCAUCGAAUUAUUGUAGAAUUGUAAAUGGACUUCUCACGAGGUGUCAACAUUCUAUAUAAUCACGUCGAAUCGAUGAAUAUUGCA